rnacentral:rRNA from 1 species
AAAGGAAUAAAGGGCGUACAGUGGAUGCCUUGGCACU